AUCUGAAAUUGAGCAAUUUUUUUCCUUUUUAAUGCAGUUCUUUGACAUUUGAGGGGAUUCGUAGACUGCCUGAGAAGGACAUGGGGUUGGAGAAAUUUGCAUUGGAUGUCCAUAAGAGAUUUAUCAAGCAAUGUUUGGUAAAGGUACUUGGUGGAAUGAGAGGAAUGACGGCUUUGGUAUGGCUAGGUUCAGUUGUCGACCCAGAUGAGAUUGAUGAGUAAUGUCUUCUUUAGCUUCUUAACUUACCCAGUGUCUUCUUUAAAUCAUAUAUACAACUAUUUGAGAAGGAAAAAUUCACAAAGCCACUGUUAUAGCCACAAAAUUAUCAUUUGAAAGAGGUAAUUAUCAUUUUUUUAUAGUUUCUUUUAGAAUACUAUUUAAGUAUUUGUUUAAUAUCUAAUUUGCACAUAUAAGAAUAAUUUUCUUACCUUUAGAAUAUAUAUAGACUUUUAAUGAAUAGAUUUUUUUAAAUCCCUAUUUGUAGUCCCUCUUAGUCGUGUCAAUCGAUAAGUCAUCGAUUGGAAAACCAUGAACCAUGCAUGAGUAUAAAGAUGGUUUGGUAAAAUUCCAAUACAAUUGGUUGGAAUGUUCCCUACUCAACAAGUUUCACAGGUACAUUCAUAUUCUGCUUAUGCUAGAGUGAUAGUAAACCUUGUCUUGUGUGUACAGUAUUUUGCAUUAAUAUUUAACGAUAUUUAAUGGUAUCAACUUUAUUCGUUGUUCUGAACUUCUCUUCACAUGAAAUUGUUGAAACAAAUUUUCAUGUAAAAUAAUCCAUUAUCAAUAUGGAAGCUUUCCACAUUGAGCCCGGUCUAAAUAUUAAUAAGAAACGUACACCUUAUACAAUUCCAAUAAUGUAUUCUUCUUUUAUCAAAACCCUGGGCAUAUGUGAAUGAAAACUAUGGGUGAGAUACAGAAUUGAUAGUAUAUAUUCUUGACUUCGCUUACUUGCUCAGUUGCUCUUGAUAGCAUUGCUGAAGGGGUAGUAAGUAUAACUUGUGGAGUUGUGACCUCUUGGUGAUUUACUGAUUUAUAUACCACUUGUAUGAAAAAAUUUACUCAUUAUUGUAUCAAUGCUAUGUAAUUAGAUAUGAUAAAUGUAUAUCAAUAUAUGCUUUUUUCUUGCAUUUCUUGUGCUCAUAAUAGUUAUAUUUUUGUUGUAAGGAUUAGAUCAGGAGAGUGAGAUUCCAUCACCAAAAUAGUUAGGAAGUAAGUUUUCUGAAGCAAGAAACAAGGAAGCAUGACCUUGCUUGAUAUGUUAAGACGUAUAUUAAGAAUUAUAUGUUAAGAUGUAUUAUUGAAAAAUGUUACUUUGAUACUUUGUUUUUGGAUUAUGACAUUUCAAUUAUGACUUGGAUUAUGACUUUUGGAUCAUGUAUGAAUUAAAAAUCAUCUUAUAAUGUUUGAUUUAUG